rnacentral:lncRNA from 1 species
AAAAGGAAAAAAGAAAAGUACUGGUUAAUGCACUAUAACUGCUCUUCUGUACUUUCCUAGCACGUGCAACUAAUGAAAUUUUCAUGGCUUAAAGCGAGGUCAGAGUUGUGGUUCUGGUACUUGGUCAAGUGCCUACAGGUACUAUAGCAUUAUACCAUGUCAACACGUGGUACAGUAGUUGAUGGUGACACAGAAAAGGUGACACCAACUAUCAUGUGCCAGUGCAGUACAGUACAGACUGGCGUACUGAUACUGGUCCAUGUCAGUGAUAUGGUAUGAUAUGGCCAGUAUAACUGGUACAACAUGGUACCUAAAACAUUGCUUUAAUGACGCUAAGCAUGGUUCUUUUCAUUUUUUUGUACAUGUUUCUUUUGCUGAUACUUUUUUGGCCUUAUCAUGCUUUUCUAAUAAACCUAUUGACUUACACAAGAUAUGACUGCAUUUUGCAAAAAUAUUAUGCUAAGAUUCAUCUAUAUUUUAUAUUCUGAAUCUGCAAAUACCACCCUAUAAUAUACUAUCAUGUUCUGCAUGCAGUCUUGAUUUUUUGUUUCUCUGCUUCCUAAAAUCUUGACAUUCAAUUUUAUAAUUCAUCCUCUAGAUUUCAUACGAACUCCAGUUUUGUUGUACUAUCAGGUAUCAUGAAGCUGAUAUGAGAACCGGAAGAGCAACCUACUGGCAGCUCACAAGCCUUCAAGCUUUCUGGCCUGGUCUUCAGGUUACCAUUUAGGCCCCUAAAAUUCUCAUACGAUUUUUUGCCAUAUGAUUGCAACAUUCACAUAUGAUUUAUUCCCAUAUGUGCUAAAGAAAACAAAAAAAAUCCCAUAUGAUUGCAAAAUAUAGAUACACUAAUGUUCAUCCAUGAUUAAUUGCCAACAGAUUCUUGUGGGAGAUAUUGCUGCCGCCAACUCAUCACAUCGUGAAUUUUUCCAUGUAUGGCAGAGGUUUGGUGUGCUACCUGAAAGGUAUAUCUGGUGCCUAAUCUAUUCUACAAUCUAUCCGUCAAAAGAGACCAUUUUUCUGGCUUCUAGUUUCAACCACCAAGAAUUUUGAAAACAAAAAACAGAUUCAUCUGAUCUUGUCUGUCAAAUUAUGACUGUUGUUUAAACUAUUAUUGUGCAACAGCUGCAUGAGAAUUUUGUAGUUACUGUCAAAACUCGAGAAGCAAGUGACAGGGUGAAUGCAAUAUCUUGUUAAAAUACUAGGCUACCUGAGAGCCAUGCAGUGUCCUGCAUUUAUAAGACCAAUAAACUCUAUGACAAAAAAGAAAAUGUAUACUCAUAUAGAGAACAAUAAUGCGUAACUGGAUGUCACACUAUUAAAAAAAUAAUGCAUAAGUAUAACACAUGCACAACCAAUGUUGUAAAACUUGGUUUUGCUUGGGUUUGCAGGGUUGCAGUUUAAAAAAGAUAGAAAAUAUUCAAAGAAGGAAAAUGGAAGGAAACAAAGGACCCCAGAAUAAUUGUUGCACAAUGGAGAGUGCUUCUGUUAUAAAUAUAGGAUUUUUUUUUUUAUAUAGUUUCAAUAGUUCUAAGCUAAAGUUAUUUUGUUUAUAGAUGAAAUUCAGAAAGCAUUGCUGAUAUAUUGCACUGUGAAAAUAUGUAUUAGUUUCUUAUUGAACUUCCAUUGUUCAAAACUACCCUCCAUAUUGCAACCAUGAAGCUUUUUUAUCCCUUGCACGUUGAAGCCGUUUUUUUUUUGUCUUUUAUCAGUAGGGCCUCCAAAUAUCUUAAAUUUGGGGAUUUUAUUUUAUAGUUUUGAGGUUAAGCAGUUUAUUCUAGACACUUAUAGAUACAAUGGUUAUACUUGUUUAGAUAAAAAACAAGCUGUUAUUAUUGCACAUGAUGGUUCCUUCUAUUUAGUCAUUCACACUACUUUCUACAAAGUAUUAGCAUAGGGACCUUCGCGGCUGAGUUACCUUUACACUCUUGCCCACCUCAUAGAACUCAAGUCAGAUACCUGUCAAACCCUUGGAUACUUAUCAAAAUUUGUUAAUUUUAGUUUUUAGAAAUUGCUCAAGGAUUGAGCUCUCAAACAGUUAGUUUGACCCAUUAUGAUAAUGUUAACAAUGAGAUUUUGUUCUUUUUAAAGUUUGGUUAAGAAUAUGCAUAUCAAAUAAUUGUAUGGAUUGCCCAUUUCCUUAAAUUCUUAAGCUAAUUGAAAGUUUGGAUGAGAAAGCUGCAUAUUGGAAAACCUUAACAAACACAUCCUUUAAUAUUCUUUUAUAAAAUACUUAAAUGUAUAUAUUUUAGUUAAAAUUAUUUUUCUACAUUUUCCCCUAUCAUUUUUUUUUCGCUUCUUGCAAAGUCAGAUAUUUGGACAUGUGUCUGGAUCCAAUUCUCAUGUUUGUAUCGAUGCAACAUUGCUCGCCAAAGGCUUUGGCAUGUAGUGGGGUUAAGGUGACCUGCAUGUCUUAGUCUAGAAGUUCUUAUAGGGAUUUAGGUCAUGGCUUGCUGUACUACCCCAUACCAUCCAGUAUGAGACAUACCGUACCAUAUCGGUAUGGUGUUUCAUACCAUACCAACAAUUGGUAUACUGUCUCAUACCAUAUCGAACCGCGAACUGAUGCUAUCAUAGGAUGGUAUUGCUUUGGGGUUCGGUAUCAAAAUGGCAAACCUUGAUUUAGGUGUUGAUCACUAACUCAAAUUUGAAAAAUAGAUUUAUUAAUAAUAAGUUACACAUUUUAAGUUUUAGUCAUUUUUGGUUAAACCUGGCCAGAAUCACCCAAAACUUAAAAUGGAGGGAUGAUUUGGAUCACCUCCAUCCAAAAAUGUUCCAAAUUGGCUGAAAUAGAUGCAUUUUGGCUGAAACUUCUAACCUACUGUGAAUCAUAAUAGGCCCAAAUAGGUUGGUCAAGGCUAAAACUUAAACAAGAUUUGUUGUUUUGGUACCGGAUUCCAUACCAAUACCAUCAUGUUAUUAUGUUGGUACGCUCAGUAUAGGAGUCAGUUUGGCAUACCGACACUUAGUACGUCCCCCCAUACCACGUGCCGGUUCAGUAUUAAUAUAUGGUAUAGUCAGCUCGCACUGGUACCGAGCAUAUGACAAAUGAUGCUUAAAACCUUGUGCACAACACAAUUGAUUUCUAGUCUCUCAACAUCUCUCUUAAACUUUUGUUUUAUCAUAGAGAAUACAAGUGUGUUGAGAGGGAAAAAACAAGCUGACCAUGCAGCAUGUGGUAUAUUUGCUAAUAUUGAAGGGAGUUCAUGCUGAGGGUGCUAGGUUAAAGUUUUUGGCAGUUGUAUCAAAUUACUUGGGAUCAAAUCCCAUCUUCACCGGGGUUUGGGGGAAUAGGGGUAUUUGCAGGAGGGCUGACCCUCAUUGUGUAGCCUAUUGCCUAUACUUCAUUUCUACCCGAAAAAAGAGAGUGUAGGUGAGGUGGAAUAAUAGUAGCUUGUGGACUGGGACCAGAAAAAAAAAAGGCUUGAUUUUCUGAAGCCUAAAAUAUGAGCUUCUGUGAAUUUAAAGAGGCAUGGCUAGUGAAACUUGGGAAUAAUGCAGUGGAAUGAAUCAUUAUGCCUUUCCACGAAUCAGCCUAUUACAUAGACUCGCAUCAGAGAUGGUUCUAUAGGUUGACCACCCUAAAGGACAGCUUGCUUGAUGGUUGUGGAACUUGUUAACAUCCCUUUUCUCUUUCUUUGAUGUUUAACAGUUUGAGAUGAGAAAUUUUUGGCUGAUUAAUAAUAAAAGAUUAUCUUGUUAAAUAAUCUUAUGUCCUGUAAGUCAUUUUAUUAUUAUUAUUUUGGAUUGUCUUUCUCAGCAUAAAUCUGUAAAAUAGGUACUUCUUUUUUUGCACCGUUUUACAUUGUGGACAGCUAACUUUAGUAUCAUUACAGCUUCCUUUAGUAACCAUUACAGCUUGAUAUUCCAAAUGUAAAACUUUUGCUUCUGUUGGUUUGUUUCAGUGUAUAUUGUAAUUUUUUGUUACUUGCAAUGGCAAUAGCACAUAAAAGAUUGGUAAUUAAGAAACUUCUUUUUAUACCUUACUUCCUUUCUUUGACAUACUAUAUCAUCUCUCUGAGGCGACGUAGUAGCCAAUGCCUAUGUCAGAUGGGAUAUCUCUUUGUUUUUACAGGUAUCUUUUGGACCAUGACAUGUUGCAUCCUACGGAGAGAUAUUAUCCAUUGCGCCCUGAACUUGCCGAAUCUACAUUUUACCUUUAUCAAGCAACUAAAGGUCUUGGAACUGUUUUAUAGAUGUAAUUGAAAUUUUAUCAGUUGAACUGCAAAAAGUACAUUGAGAAAUGUAGGGAUAAAAUGAGGAGGUCCCUAGUUCUUUAUCAUGCACCUAGAGGUCAUGAACUCUUUCAAAAUUUACAUAAUUGUCUGUGCAUGUGCAUGCAUUGGUGUAUGGGUGCAAACAUGCAGCGUCCAUGUCCAUAUGCAGGUGCAUGUGCUAGUAUGUUGACAAAUGGGAAAUAAGCAUUUGAACAAGGCAAUAAAUGUCACAUUGAAAGUUAAGAAGUUGGUAUGUGCUUGUACCUGUGGUUUGAAAAAAUGGAUAGCAAGUAGAUAGCUGAAGAUUAAACAUCUUAUGAUUUAGUCUUCGCAUAUGUUGAGGUUGUUAAUGUUUUGGGUGGAAAAAUGUAUAUGCUUAAUUUGUCAUAGAACUGUAAUUGUUUUUCAGAAUCUGAUAUGUACGUGUAAGUUGGUUUUGUAUUUUCUUAACUAGUUAGUGCAUUUAGGAAAAUUUAGAACCUGAAGUAGAAACCAUGUAAAAUUCUAAACAUACUUUAGUUUAAAAAGGAAAUUGCUUUAAGGUCUUGCCAUUAAAUUUUAGUUUCUCAAAUUUAAACUUGAUUUACAUUUUCUGGAAUCAAUUUUAUGAAAGCACAUCUUUGCAACAUCUUUCACAGUUUGGUUCUUUUUCACAUAAAGUUACCGCAUGUUGCUAUUGCAUUUUCUCUGAGAAAUUAAAAGUCCUACUUUCAUUGGUGGUCAGGAUGUUUUGAGUGUAUCAUUGUCUAAAUUUUUAUGAUCUAAUAGUUCUGUUAUUGUCUUAAACCAAAUCUAUUCUUGAUUUCCAUGAUGUCUGUGUAAUAAGGACCUCUUAUGAUUCUUAUGUGGAUUCCACCUAUGAUCUUUUUUUUCCUUUAGAAAAAGAGAGAGCAUGAUUUUGGCAGCUGAUGACAGAUAUUUCAAGUAUUUUUAUAAUCUUAAUUGUGGAUGAUUGAUACAGCUAAGCAGUGUAUGAUGCGGCAAUAACAAAAAGUUAUUAUAGCAAGAGAUGAACAUCUAGUCACAUUUAAGAGUAGGUGAAAUGUGUGACCGUAGAUUAUUAUUUCCUAAGUAGAAGAGAGAUCAACAUUGUAAGGUGGUGCUCAUAAGCUCAUGUCCUAGAUGCUUGCUCAUGGAGCAAAGAAUGGAAAUAGAACUCCACAUUUCCCCAGGAUAACAUAGUGGGACUUAGAGCAAGAAAACAUCUUUUAGGAUAAAAUUUAGGAAUUUGGUACUAGUGAACCAAUUCAAGAUUUCAAACCAAAUGAUGGAGAUAUAUAAGCAGAGUUGCUAAAGAAGUUUCUUGAGAGCCUAAAGGUAAAAGAAAUAUUUAUAAAGAAACUUUGUCAUGAAAUGGCAAGUUGCAGAUGAGCUAUAAGAGAAAAGGACCAUGCUCUUAUUAGAGACAGAACAAAAGUCACCAGGGACUUUAGCAGAUGUAAAGUCAAGCAUGUAGGUGCCGGCUGUGCCUGUCCAUACCAACAGGCACAUGCCAUGCCAAGCCAGUGUUUAGCACCCGCCGGUAUGACACUUAUUUAAUCUUUUCUUGGUACAUCACCAUUUAACCUUUUUCUUAUAACUUUUAAUUAAAUUUAUUUUUAAAUCCUUUGUUUUUUUUCCACGGUUGCUUUGCACGUAUGCUGCUUUAGCAUGGCAUGACAUUUCCAUGCUAGUGGGUGACUAGCAAUCCCACUGAUGUUGGCUUGUGAAAUCUCGAGCAAGGUUCAAAAAUAAGGAUAGAUGAAGCAAACAAGGCUAAAUAUGCAACUUUUGGUAAUUUUUAGGUUGGAACAAGAAAAGAAAAGGGAAUUUAUAAAUUUAGCCAGGACAGGGUUAAGAAAAUCAGAGAUGUAAACCAAGUUUGACGUAUUAAGCAUGAGGUAGUAGAAUAUGGAGAAAUAUGUGAAGUAUGAAGAAGAUGAAUUUGUUAGUUUUAGAUAUUGUGGAAAGAAGACUAUCAAAAAGAAUUCCUCAAAUGAGGCAUAGUUAAGAAGUUUCCAUAUGCUUCUUUCAAUUCAAGCGAAAAAAGAAAAUCUAAUUAGAGAUUGCUUUGAGAAAGAUGCUCAAGGGAAACACAUUUGGCUGGAUAAAAGUACCGAUCAAAAAGUUUGGAAGUUCUUGGAAUGGGGUUAAUGUGUUUGACAGCUUAUUUGGUGAGAUUUUGAAAGCACUAGAUCACCACCAAGUGCUUGCUUGUAUGGUAGCGCCAUGUGCCAGUUGGGCAAAAGGGUGGGCUUUUGAAUCUGGUUGGAGUCAGCCCUCAACAGGUGGCUUGGGUAUAUGUUAGGAAGGUGGGGUUAGCCCUUUCUAAUCUAAUCUUAAAAAAAGACACCAAACAAAAAGAAAACACCAGGUAGAGUGCCUACCUGUUGCAGUGGCUGUAGUGACUAGAGGCAUGCCCUUGUCUUCAGUUAUUGCAAGAAAGAGAGUCUUACGGCUGUUGCAAUCAUCUUUCUCAUUGUUGUUCACUUUCUUAGUGACAUAAGGGGUAGACAUUUGUACAAAUCAAAUGUACAAGGAAAUUCAUUCAUCGAAUGAACGAUCAGAUGCUAGUCACCUACUCUUUUUAGAAGAUUUUUGUUCUUCUUUGAACAAAGAAUUGACUAGUUUGAUCAGUUGUUAAAUGCUGAUAUCCAAUUUUGGGCUUUUGACUUCUAUCAGGAAGAUUUGAUUAUUUAAGUCCCUAGUUGUUACGAAUGGCAUGAAGAAAAAGGAUAUGAGAUAUGUAGUAAAUGGUUAAAGUGCUUGAUCCCAGACAGUGGAGUCUUGGACAGAAGGUUGUCGAUAUCCUCAUCAUCGAGGGUGACCAACUUUAUCAAAUAAUUCUAUGCUGCUGUUGGUGUUUAGAAGCACAUGAUGUUGGGGCUUGUGGAGUUGAUUUGGGACAGGCCUAAUACCCAGAUUUUGGGGCCUACUGCCAGGUUGGCCAUUGGGUAUUAGUGUGUCCAGCUGCUAAGGCUCUUACCAAAAUAGAAAAGAAGACUAUCCACCAUCCCACCUCAAAUGUGUGUAUUUAUAUGUAUGUAUGUGUGGUAUGUAUUUAUGUAUGCGGUUUCUGACUCUUUUUAAGGGGUGAGAUUCCAAAGUAGAUUUUUGUUCAUGAGCAUUUGCAAAAUGCCUGGGCUUGUUGUGCACCUAAACCCCUUAAAUCUCUAUGCAGCAAAAAUUUAAGCAGAAAACUUUGAUUCCUGGAGACACAUCUUGCUACUUUAGUUCUUUUAAUUUUAUAAUUAUGCUACUCUUAGACUACCCAUUACAUGAAAAAGUGGAAUGAUCGCAAUGCAGAACUAGAUGAAUUUUUUAUCAUUUUUCCUUCCACCGGGAUUAACAUUUACUCAUACAUAUCAGAUCCUUGGUACAUGGAAGUGGGCGAAUCAAUCAUCAACUCUCUUAAUUCUUAUGCCAAAGUGGAUGGUGGUUUUGCAAGUAUCAGAGAUGUUAUGACCAUGCAACAAGAAGAUCAUCAGCAUAGCUUCUUCCUUUCUGAAACGUGAGUUAUCCUAUGUUUGCUGAUAUGGAAAAGCCAAACGUUUAUGAAAAUGAGCACUUUUAUUGUUGAUAUGUUAAGACUUCAUGAAAUAACUCUUUUCCUCUUUUCCUCUCAGGUGUAAAUAUCUUUAUCUUCUAUUUGAUGAUUCAUUUUUGGCCGAUAAAAAUUAUGUAUUUACCACUGAGGGUCACCUUCUUCCUAUAAGAAGUUCUUGGCAUGAGAAACUGCCAGAGUCCUACAUAAGUAAUUGGACAUCAAUAAAGGUGCUAUCUCUAUCCCUUGGCAUUAAUUCACAACAAUAUUUAAGUUACUUUGGCAUAGGUUUGCAUUUCAACGUGAAUUAGUCAUAGAAAUAUCCACGUCUAUUUAUUCAUUAUUUUUCCCCAUUAUGUAAUAAUCUUUUUAUCAGUCUCUUUGGUUUGAGGUUCGUGCUUUGAAGAUGAGUGCUGAUUCUUAUAAUGAGUGUUGUAUUCUCUCUAUCCAUACUGUUUUAAUUCCUGGGAAAUUUAAAAGGUUGCUCCUUGCUACACAGUUCCAUUAGCUUAAAUAGAAAAAUUAGCUUAGUCUAUCUACCUUUUGGUUGGUUUUUGAUGUUUCCUUGUUGACUCCGACUUGUCAAAACAUGUCCGGUUUAGAAAGCCUGUGUUAUCUCAAAGCAAGAUUCAUCAUCUCGGUAUCAGCCCCGUACCGGUGUCAAUUUGUUAGUGUGUCGGUACAGAACCGGUUUGGCAUACCAAGUGCCGGUACACACCCUGUACCAUAUAUUGGUACCGAACCGGUAUGAUAUGGUAUGCCUCGUAGCAUCUAAUUUGAUAUGUUAUGGCAAACCUUGCCUUAGAGGGUUGACACUAGAGUAAAAGCUGAUGAUAUAAUUUUCUCAAACUUUGUUAUUUCAUACCCUGAUUCUUAGAACUGAUUCUGUAUAGAUUGUAGAGGUUGAAACAUGCUGCUUUUCCUAUAAAUGUAGCAAGUUCUACAUGUUAUAAUUAACUAAAUUUUUUAAGCAUUUCAGAUUCUUACUUUAUUGCAAUGGCAAAGAGGUAAAUGGUGCACAUAUAGGUUGGCUGAUAAAAACAGAUCCAGCAAUUUAGAGGAAGAAUAUAGUUUGCUAGAAAGGAUAUCUGAGAAUAUGAGGCUGCACAUGUGAGAGGAUAAAAAGGGAUAUGAUGAUAGAGUGAAGGUCUAGAUCUGAUGCAUUCAAGCUGGGUCAAGCUUCUCUACAAAUAGAUUUUUUUUUCCUUCCCCCUGUUGUAGUAAAUGAGAAUAACUUACAAGCAUUUUGGAUUGUUUAAAUAGAUUAGUUUGAUGGCAAAAACAUAGCAAUCAAGGUUCCAAAAUCCAACUGUGCCCAUUCUAUCCCUUGCCAGUUGGCAUGCGCUGUGUAUUGGCAUCUGGCACUGAUCAGCAUGGCACCUGCUAAUUUAAUUUUCAAAUAUUUUUAACUUAACAAGAGUAUCUUUUAUUAUUAUUAUUAUUGUUUCAUCAUGUGGCACAUGUUCCUGCAUGCCGACUGGCAUUAUUACUUGAAAUUUUCGGAAUAAUUAUGGAUGUAAAGUAAAAUUAGAAAAAGUGUGAGACAGGGAGCUCAAUAAUGUAUACACUUUUAGGAGGAAAACUGUGAUACCACCAUGGUAAACAUUUUGUUCAAAUUGUAGUUUGGAGUUGUUGAAAAGUGCUGAGGGAAGUUUCACAGUCAGUGAUUCAUUUUAUCUAAAGGCAAUUAUUUUCCAAUGUACAGCUUCACUAUCACAAGGGGGACAUAUCAAAGCCCUUAUUAUAUACUUAAAUGGUAUGAAUAAGCAAUAAAAAUGUGUGACAUGCAUCUUUUGGGAUCAUAAGAGGGUUAGUAGUUACUGAAAUGGCAAGAAAAGGCGGUUUGAGCUGUGUAUGUGGGUAUGUAUUGGGUCUAGUGAUGACAUAAAAGACCAAGUUGAUCCUAAGAAUUGGUCGACCAUGACAGUUAGGACCGCAAUGAUUCAUAACACGAAUCUCAAGAUGUGAGCCAUCUCAUUCCAUGUCAGCACCUCCUGGCUUGACUGAUAUGGCUCCUAGGGGGAGGUGACAUAUUAUUCUUCUUAUUUUUGUUGGGCUGACUGGAUCUCAAUUGAAGAUUUUAAUGUUGACUUCAUGAAAACUUCAUUUUGGGGCUUUGGCAUAAAUCUUUGUUGGAGGACAAAGAUGUAGGUGUUGUCACAUCUUUGAUGAGUGAAAUCACGGUCAAACAGCAAUGGAUAUCCAAACAGCAGAUGACAUACUACCAUUAGCAACAUGUCACACUAUGCUUCAUCUUCCUGGACCUUCCCUCAAUAGGAAAUGAAGCACUUAUGGGCGAUGGGAAUGGUUUACUUUAGUCACUGAUCUGAGCCAUUUGAUAGUGCUUUGGCUUGUUGGUUUUCAGACAGAGCUUGUCGAUCAACUAUUUUGAGGCCACAUUUUCUGUUCUACCACCAUCUAUGAUGACAUUGAUGAGCUUGUUGUUGUAGUUUAUGAAGCAUUGGGAGAUUUUAUGUUUCUCUAAUCUUUGUUAUCUUCUCCUUGGAGCAUUGCAAGCAAGCUGGUGAAUAUUGAUUUAUGAUGGCACUAAAUUGAUGGUUGAUAUUGUUAUUAUUACAAAUAUAAAAAUCCUUAGUUGCUUAGUUCGUUGUAACUGUUAAUUAUACUUGUUGGAUUAUAUGUUACCGAGACAAUUUAUGUUCAUUGUCCUUAACUAUUUAGGAGCUACUAGUGUUUAACAUAUGCGUUGCAUGUCAAAGAUCAUGCAAUAAUUCAAAUUUCACUCAAAAGAAUAUUCUAUAUUAAUUAAUGCAAAAUAAUGAUCAUAAAUUUGUAGUAACUGUUCCUCUUGUCUCUCGUCCUGCAUUUCUCUUACCUGAUCCAUUAAACCUAGCUAAAUUAUCAAGUCAUCUCUUAUUACUUAAAAGAGGAGAAAUCUCCGAUAUGUUUUAUGACUUGGUCAAAGGAAAUGGUAGAGAGAGGAAGGAAUUGAUAUAAAUUAAGGAGAGAAAAGGUAGCUAUCUUUGUAACUGUGAAAAAACCUCUUUAUUUUCAUUUAAAUGGAUGUCUAUAAUCUUUUAAAUAGAUGAAUGUAAUAAGAGAUUAAUGGAGUAACUAUUGUAUUUAUAAAUAUAUUAACAUUAAAUUAGUGUGCUAAUGAAAUAAAAGAUUUAAAUUAUAGCGAGGUAUUAAAGGAAUAUGCAAUUGAUUUGAUGAAUAGGAAUUAAGGAAAAUUAUGAUCAGUUUCAAUAUAAUAUAAGAUAAUGGUACAAAAUAACUCACUAUUCAUACUAAUCGAUAUGAAACAAAUGAGUUAAUAAGAUAAUUCAUUUGUAUAAUAAAAGAUAUAAUGAAAGAAAUAUAACCCAUUAGAAGGCGUUAAAUAUUUCUCUGUUUGAAGAAAUUCAGAUACGACCAAAACCAAAACUAUUUGCUUUUAGGAGUACUAUAGAAUUAUGCAGCAUGCAUAUGAGAAUUUAUCUUUAAUUUCAAAAAGGCUACUCUGAUUUUGACAAAUCUGUGCAUGCCAAUGUGUAUUAUUACUUGAAACAUAUGGUUCUUAAAUUUAAAGUUCUUCGUAAUCCUGUGAAGAAUCAGCAAUUCUUGAAGCUUGUUAUGGUGUCCGUAGUGUCUCAUAAUUUUUCUUUUUCAGUCAGGAUCCAAGUAUUUGAAAGCUGAGAUUUUUCCCGGUUUUUCUGUGUUGUAUUUACAUAUUGAUCUUUUGGCAAGUAUUGCUUUUGACUCUGAGUGAGAUAGAAGAAACCUGAAGGCAUUUUCUAAUUCGAACUUAGCCUCAGAAACGUAGGAUCUAUAAAUCCAUCAAAUAGCUGGAAAAAGCUUGCUGUUAAUGCUGUUGAAUAUCCAGUCUAGUUUGCUGAGACUAGGUUGUUAACCAAUGAUGUUUUAUGUUAUUGUAGAAUGGAAAUCAAGGAACACAUGCAAGUGCAAUGUCUUUACAAGUUUGUCCGGCAAUGUUCAUUGGUGGAAAUAUCACUCCUUGGGUUGAGAGUGCCUGCCAUGUCCCUGAUUCACGUGUGGAUCACAGGUGUAUUACUGAUGAUGAUUGUGGUAUUGAUUCAACCACCUGUAGGCGAAGAACUUGCAGUAUGGCUGGAUAUUGUGGAUUAUGGUUGUUCAUAUUAUGAUUCCUCAGCAGCAAUCCUAGAUGUAAUAGUGAGCAUUCAUUUAUUAACAAAAAUAAUAAAGUAAAAAAAUAUUAUACAACUUGUGCAGGAGUAAUAUUCUGAGUUGUUGAUAGUUUCACCCGAAAUGCUGAUAGAGGUUUAUGAUAGGGUAUUUUCAUACUCAUGUUUCUGAUUAACUUUUAGAUGGAUCUGUUGCAUAUCAACUCGAUGUAAGAUCGUUCUUGUGUGCAAGUUGGUCAUAGUUAAUAAGGCAUCAUAAGGUUGAUUCGUUCCUCUACAAAGUUUUUACUAUUUUAUGUGGAUCAGAUUCUUAACAUGAUUGUCUUGAAGCUAAAUUGACUUUUGUAAGCUUUUUUUUUAUCCCUUUUUUCCCUUUCGGGAUAUCUGGAUACGCGAUUACCGUGAAAAUUGACUUGCUGGCAGGGUAUUGGUACAAUAGACGUAUUGCACUCCUAGCGUCAGUUGUUUUGGCGAAGUCGAUCCAUCUGCUUGAUGCAUCUGUGGAAGCAAACUGAUGUACAGUGGCGUCUACCAUACUUCACGUUUUUUAUUUGAACUUUUCCCCGUGUGAGAAUUAACCGCCCCAUUCAAAUUACUGUCAUUUUUCUACUCUAGAGACUCUGGAACUCUUCUUUAUUUCCUUUUCGAAGUCAAAGAAUAAAAACCUUGAUCGAGAGGUUGAUCUCUGGUGGAACCCUAUAUCUCGCCCUGUACCUAGUUCUUAGCAGAGCGGGUGCCACCAUAUGGAACUAUAUCCUAGCAAAAUCGCCGUAGCAGAGUUACUGUGGAAGGGAGCUUGAGAACAGCUAGAAAGAAACACCGAUAAUACAAUAUAGCAAAAAUAUCAGACAGAUUGCCUGCCAAAUAAACUAAUCUACAGCACGGUCCUUCAACCACUAAGAGGUGUGACAUAUAAGAAAUCCACAUUUGGCCAAGACUCCAAACUUCACAGGUACUUUAUUUGGCCAUAAGAGGUCAAGGAAAAAAGCCAUAAAGCAAGCUUGUAGCACGCUGUCCGGCUAAUCAUUCUCCAGAUCAUACGCAUCACAUUGCGGUGGAAUCGAAGGGAGCGAACCAUUUGUUGCGGAGUAGAAGCAUCCUCCAACUUCUAAAUAAAAAAGGGAAAACUACUUUAAUAUUUUACUCAUGCGUAGGCAUAAUGUCUAUGUGCAAUACCAGUAUGGAACCAAUGCUCGAUCCAAGGCAUAUUAGGUGUACUGACACUCUAUAAAUAUGGUACCAUUAUACAGUCCAAUACAGGGAUUGCGAACAUUGAGUACAAGCGUACAAUAAAGAGCGGUGCAUGUAUUGUUGAGACCUACCAAUCUGCUUAAACUCAUUCCUUGGGAGUUCAGCUCAAAUGUAUGAGUUUGCGUCAAAUGUAUAAACUAUAGCUUGACGAAUAGAACAUGGUGGUUCAUGUGUUUCAGCCUAUUCAGAGUUCAUGGUCAUCGUCAUAUUUAUAUAUAACAGUGGCAAAACAACUGAACAAGUUCAAUGUAGACUUGCUCAAUUGCUUGAAUGACUCAUCAUACUUUCAUCAAGUGAUACAAUUACUAACAUUUGCACACCAUCAAGACAACAACUUGGUCUGUGAGAAAUAUCAGCUCAAUUAUAAACAUCUUAAAUCAAAAUUGUAAGAAUUAUCAAAAUCGUAAAACUUUCACCACUGAUCUGUUUAAAUACCCUGAACAAAAAGAAAUCAUAACCCUUUUGCCACUAUCUCCAAUAUAAGAAAUAAGAAAUACAUCAUAUUACAUUGCUUUUCGUGAGGACAACCGUAGAGAUGGAAUUUCAAUAUCUUUUGUGUAUAUAUUCGUGAGGGCAAAAAGAAUCAAUAUAAAAACUACUUGGGCACUCAUAAUCCCAAAAUGGCUGAUGCUAUUACCAAUUUCCAUCCAACUUCCAGUAUUGCGAACCUGUUCAUAAACAGAAAAUCAUCAUGACUUUCAAAGACAUUAUCUGCUGCUGCUAAUUGUCUAGUUCUUUUAUUUAUAUCAUGGUACGUAUAGGAACAUUGGGUUAACAAUCUUCUUAUGAAUCUUUUAGAUAGACAAGAUAUGUGAUAUGCAACAGCUUCUAAACUUGUAUUUAUCAGCAUGGAAUCCAAAAGAACUAACUUAAUUAUUACCACCAAAUAAAAAUGUCAUGAAUAUCCUCCAACCCAUUCCUCAAAUGGUACACUACAUAGGAAAAGCAUUACAUGACCAUGGAGAUAGCGGUUAACUGAAAGGCAAUGGUUUCCCAUGGCAUUCCUUCAUCCUUAUAAAUCCAUAAUUGAGUUAAGAAAAAACAACUUAGACUAGAAAAAUUCUUGCUUUCUAAAUGUAUGUGCCUAUGUGGAUGUGUCUUUUGCAUGUAUGUGCAUGCGCAUCUCUAUAUCUAUACAUUUGCAGCUAUAUCUUUACAUAUGCAUACAUACAUGUCCGUACACAUAUUAUGUAUUGCCUGUCUUUGCAUGUGCAAGUGCAUCUGUACAUAUUAUGUAUGUGCACAAAGUGCAUGCAUUUGCAUAUGUUAUGAUGUUUUUUUUGGUACAAUAUGUUAUGAUGUUUAAACCAUGGAGGUGACGCACCAACAUGUCAUACUGUGAUUACUCAUGAAAACUGCAUGUUGGUAUUAGGACAGCCUUCUGUCUCAGUUAACAAAUAUUCCAAAUCCAAAUUGUCUGAUGCUCCAUUUUUGGUAUAGACAGUUUAAGAAAAAUAUCAGACUCGUGGUAAUGCUCCUCGUGAACUAUUUCAUCGAAGAGUUAUUGUUUUACAUGCACUUCAUUUUCACUAUAUUAUUUGUUUGAUGAAAAAUAGAUCUUGACUUAAUACAUAUUUGCUAAAUUCCAAAAUUUGGUUUGCUCUUUAGAAAUGAUACACCAGAUUUCAUGUUUUUAUACUCCACAACAGAAUGGUAUCACAGAGCAUAAACAUCAUCAUAUCAAAGAGGUUAUGAGAAAUUUUCUCAAGUACUUUUUUUGCAUUAAUAGAAUGCCAUCUUCUAUACCAAAUGGACAACAUGCAAAGUUAUAUUUCCAAUAUCAUCCUCGUUUUUCUUUUUUGAAAAGUAUAUGGAUGUCAUUGCUUUAUUCAUCGGGCCCAAUCUCAAAGGUGAUAAGAUGGAUGCCAAGUCAAUAAAGUGCUUCUUUCUUUGAUACUCCUAUUGGAUAAACUUCAAAAUUUAUGUUCCUUGGCUGAAGAAGCAGUUUACUAUAGCUUAUUUAACUUCCAUCGAGUACAUAUAACAAACCUCAGGUUGUAGGGCAUAUAUUCCUGUCAAUGUCACAAAGAUUAAUGCAAACAAAAUAAUCGAGUCCUCUUAUUUAUUUAAGUUUCUUUGCUGAAGAGAUGAAUGAGGGUAAAGAGGACAGUCACAUGAUUCAAAUAAGAGCAAACACACCUUCCCCUACUAUAAAGUCUUCAAAAGCAACCUCUCCACUCUCGACUCAACCAUCUACUUCUAAGUCAAUUGUACACUCCCUCUUAUUUCUAAUUCUGAUUGCCAUCACAUCUUGAAGUGGAGCUAAAAGGAAUUAUUGCUAUUUAUGUUGGAAUAGCAUAUACUUAGCUGCAUUGUUUAUAGAAGCUUUUAAUUGAAGAUAAGUAACUAAAUGUCAUGGAAAGCUUGGAUGCUGUGACAUCUAAAUUCCAAUUUCAGGAGUAUCAACUAUUAAGUAUAAUCCAAGAAAGUUUUAACAAAUUGUGUUUCUCAAUCUAUUAGGCUUGCCUGCAUGUAAUCGGACCUUUACCAGUUAGACCUAAUCGGAACUUGUGUGCUAUAGUACUACAGCCCUAAUAAUUAAGAAUUUAAGAUGUUAGGAGCAUGCACUAAUUAGGUACAAAGACCUGGCAUUCGCUUUGUAGACUUCCCUUUUUCCAACUCUCCAUUUUCUCUUUCCCUUUCUAGUUUCUUCCCCUUUCUCACCUCUUAUUAGUUCUUUCUUGUAUCACUUUAAUGAUUUCUUAAAGCCGAAUGACAACUUUAGGCCCAUAACCUGACAUUGCAGUCUCAAAUUGGGUCUUUAAGAUUCUUUUCAACCUAGAUCUGUCCAAGACAAAAAAUAUCUAGGAUGUAAGAGCCAAAAGAGAUCUAGAUUACAAGAUCAAAUCUCCUCUGACAAAUUAUAUAUAUAUAUAUAAGAAACAAUCAACAUAUAUCAACUAACUAAUAGGUCAACAAAAUAUUAAAAAUAAUCAGAUAAGUUAUUAAAAUAUUUAUAACCAAAUGCCCUUUAAAAACUACCUAUUUUUAUUAUUUUUAUAUAUUUGUAAUUACAUGUAGUUUUACUAAUAAACUUUUAGUACAUCAGUGAAUAAAGAGGUUCUUUAAAGAAACCAGAUAGAUGAAUAUCCACAAGUUUUUCUCAUGAGAAAUCUGAAAAAAGUUCAUUUUUGGCAAAAUGUUGUAAAUUUUUUUUUUGUUGGAUUCAUGCAUAUAGAACAAGGAAUCCAACCAAGAGUAUAUAGAUUAUGUUAUACACCCAAUGAAAUAUUGAUACAGCUACCCAAGAUCUGCCCAGAGGAACCAAAAAAAAAAAAAAACAAGAAAGAAACCACUUAUCUCCUCAAGUCUUAAUGGUGUUUAGGUUUACACCAAGAUUUAAUAUAUUUUUUGCCUCAUCAUGCCGGAUAAAAUACUUUUCAGUAAAAAACUAGAUAAAAAUCAUUAAAUAAAGAAAAAAACUUCUAAUCAAGAUGUUUAGCUAGUGCUUUUUUUUGGUGACAGGUUAGCUAGUGCUUUAAGUGAAAUCUGGUUAUUAAAUGGCAACAUAGAGCAAAAUUAAGGCCUAAGAUAUGACCAAGCAUCAAGGCAAGAGAUCACCAGUAAAUAGGAUAAAAAUAUGCAUCCAUACUUUAAUCAUCUAUCAUAAAUUUUCAAUGUCCUCCAUUCAGCAGGGAAGCUAGAGCAUGCACACUCCCUAAUGUCAAUAAAAAAAGGGUACAGCAGGAAAAUCCAUAUCCAUUAUGUUACAAUAUAUUAUAUUUCUAACUUAAGGUCUUCUUUAACAUUUCUUAUUGAUAAGUAACAAUAGUGUUCUUGCUCUGAUUCAUCAAACCAAGGUUCGCUGAACUAGUACCAAAGGGGGUACCGGUCGGUGAUUGGUUCAACAAGGUAUGGGUCCACACUGUGUCGCUCUAGGGCACACCAACACAGGGAGAGCCCAAGAAAGAGGGGGAUGGAAGAAGGAGAGAGAUGAAAAGAAAGAGAAGCUGAGAGAGAGAGGGGGGGCUUGAAUGCCCUCAUUAAAAUAGGAAUUCCCUAUUUUAUUUCAAAACCAUGGAUUUCUAAUUAUUUUUUUACUGAAUCCGAAUUGAAGUUGGCAAACAAUUUGCUGAUUUCAAUUCAAAAUCGGCAAAAAUAAUUAGGGAUUAGUGAAGUCAGCAAAUGAUUUGCCAAUUCCAAUUUGAAAUCAGCAAAGAUAAUCAAGGAUCCCUAUUCCCCCUCCCUCUCUUUCUCUCUCCUCCCUCCCUCUUGCACAGUAGGGCUUCCUUUCGAACCAAAGGAAUGAACCGUGCCGGUAAUUGAUAGGUCCGAUUCAGUAUGCUCCCGACUGGUUCGGCACAAUUUAGCAGACAUUGCAUCAGACAUUAGCAAAAACUAACAUACACUAGGAUCUUUAAUUCUUUGCAUCAAUAAAUAGUUCAUCUUUAACAAUUUCAAAGGAUGAAGAAUGUAAAGUUGACCUAGAUCAUACUAUUGUGACUAUCAAAUUUCAAUUCAUUUUUUCUUUCAUUAGUAAUUCUUAUAUUAGUCAUCCUUCUUCUUUUUCCUCACUACUUCCAAAAAAAAAAUUCAAAGUGCCUUCCAUUUUACAUCAAGCAACAACCAGAUAAAAAUUUGUCUUUAGAAAUUGAAUGCCAUACUAUAGACCAUCUCUUCAAUAUUACAAGUUUACAACCAUUUAUAGAGCUUGCCAACUUCUGUUUCAUAUCUAACUUCUUGAAUAUUAUCAUUUCCUUUUGCUUUAUAAUGUGUUUUAAGUAUGUAUUCCACAUCAUCUUUCUCGCCAUAAAAGUGUGUCAAAUCUUUAUGUAAAUGAAAGUGACAGAAAAUUGAACCAUAUGAUGGUGCCAGAACUUUGCAUGCUUCUGCUAUCAAAUGUGGUCAAGUAUAGCAUCAAUUUUGUAACCUUUCUCCAAUACCAUUGUUACGAUUUCUCAGAUGUAAGCAUAUCCUCCACUUUAAGUAAGAUUUUGAACUAUUCCAUAUACAACACCCUUAUUAAAGAAUCUUCAAUAAUAAUGUCAAUGUGUUUCAUAAAGCUCCUUUUGCCACUCCAACUACACAAUCCAGAUCAUUUCUGUAAAAAUAUCUUUACAGUAUUGAAACAAAAGUCAUAAGAGAGAACUGGCAUAAAGCAACCACUGUACUAGUGCCAUAAGAGAAAGCACAAAGGUGAAACAAGAAAAGUAUGCUUACCAGGAAAAAGAAAUGAAUGGUCAUAACAUCUGAAAAUAAUAUAACAAGAAAAUAGCACCCUAGUCGUGAAACUCGAAUAAGCUUGGUUAUUGCACUAAAGACGCAUCUGCAUUUAGUUUAAAUGAUGUUAGGGAAAAAGGAAAAGAGCUAAAACUUCAUAACAUAAAGUAGCUAUUCAAAGAAUACUAAUAAGAAAGCAUAAAAAGACAGUUAUGAAGAAAUAGGUUUCAGACAUGAUGUUGGCUAUCGCUUGAUGGGAAAAGAAAUAAUUUGCCAGCUCUGAGAUUAUGACAAAUAUAACCAUCAGAAGAGAGAUAACGCAACCACAGCACACAUAAGUAAUGUUAAGGCUCCCUCAUGAUAAUAACUUGAAAACUUAAAGCAAACAUGCAAGGAAAAAAAAGGAAAUGUAAGUACAUCAGGUACUAAAAGCAGCGACCAUACCAACUACAUAUCUGGCCUCUGUUCAUUUAUAAUGUACUAAGAAGCUGAUACUGUAUUAGAUUGUGCGUGGAUUUUCCUAUAGCUUAUACCAAAUAAAACAAAAGAGAGGAGCAAGCUCUCAGAUAAAAUAGGUUCCACCCAAUAUUUUGAAUGUAUAAUUGCAUGCCAGAAUCAUAAGAGGUGGACACCUUCAAAAAAAGCAAAAGAUAAUAAUGUCUAGAUUCUUGCCAAGCAAUAGUGCCUUUCUGUGAAAUAAAGCUAAUAGACCAUGUAGAGCAGGGCACCAUUGGUAGCCUUUUUUGCUCAGGUAAUGAAACUUCAUAUGAAGAUUGCUUCAAAAGAAACAUUACAAACAAAACAUGGUUUUAUUUCUGAAUAUCUAGAUAAGUAAAAUUCAUUAUAAACAUUAAACAGAGCAUCAAAAAAAAAAAAAAAAAUACAUGUGAAGUUACCCUAUCAUCAAGGUUUUAAUUCCCUGCAGGACCGGGGGCAUCCUAGCCAUCCCAUCCCAUUCAUGUGAGAACAGGACCAUAACAAGGUUAGGAGGCUGAAAUCUAUCUGCACAAGGAGAGAAGAAGAAAGAGGAAAGAAAGAAAGGAAGGAAAAGAAAAGGAAAAGGGAAAGAAGGAGAAGAAAAAGAAAAGAAAGAAAGGAUGGGAGAAGAAAAAAGAAAGGAAAGAAAGGAAGAAGGGAAAGAAGAAGAAGAAAAAGGAAAAAAGAAAUGGUUAGAUACGAGAAAGCAAAAGAAAAAGAAAGACAGGAAAAGUAGAAGAAAAAGAAAUAAAAGAAGGAAAGAAAUAAGAAAAAUAAAAGAAAAAAA